AUGGUGCCGCGCGAGCAUGGGGACGAGGCCAUCGUGGCGGACGGGCACGGCAAGGAGGAGGAGGUCGGGGUGAUGGGCGUGAGCAGCGGCGGCGCGGACGGCGACGAGGAGCAGCACGGCGGCGGCGGCGGCAAGUUCAGCGUCGCCAGCUUCCUCUGGCACGGCGGCUCCGUGUGGGACGCCUGGUUCAGCUGCGCCUCCAACCAGGUGGCGCAGGUGCUGCUGACGCUGCCCUACUCCUUCUCGCAGCUGGGGAUGCUCUCGGGCAUCCUGCUGCAGCUCUUCUACGGCUUCCUCGGCAGCUGGACCGCCUACCUCAUCAGCGUCCUCUACGUCGAGUACCGCUCCCGCAAGGAGAAGGAGGGCGUCAGCUUCAAGAACCACGUCAUCCAGUGGUUCGAGGUGCUGGACGGGCUGCUGGGCCCGUACUGGAAGGCGGCCGGGCUGGCCUUCAACUGCACCUUCCUCCUCUUCGGCACGGUCAUCCAGCUCAUCGCCUGCGCCAGUAACAUCUACUACAUCAACGACCGGCUGGACAAGCGGACGUGGACGUACAUCUUCGGCGCCUGCUGCGCCACCACCGUCUUCAUCCCGUCCUUCCACAACUACCGGAUCUGGUCCUUCCUGGGCCUGGGCAUGACCACCUACACGGCCUGGUACCUGGCCAUCGCCGCGCUCAUCAACGGCCAGGUGGAGGGCGUCACCCACACCGGCCCCAACAAGCUCGUCCUCUACUUCACCGGCGCCACCAACAUCCUCUACACCUUCGGCGGCCACGCCGUCACCGUGGAGAUCAUGCACGCGAUGUGGAAGCCGGCCAAGUUCAAGUACAUCUACCUGCUGGCGACGCUGUACGUGUUCACGCUGACGCUGCCGUCGGCGUCGGCCAUGUACUGGGCGUACGGGGACGAGCUGCUGGCGCACGCCAACGCCUUCUCGCUGCUGCCCAAGACGGCGUGGCGGGACGCGGCGGUGAUCCUCAUGCUCAUCCACCAGUUCAUCACCUUCGGCUUCGCCUGCACGCCGCUCUACUUCGUGUGGGAGAAGGUGAUCGGCAUGCACGACACCAAGAGCGUCUGCCUCCGCGCCCUCGCCAGGCUCCCCAUCGUCGUCCCCAUCUGGUUCCUCGCCAUCAUCUUCCCCUUCUUCGGCCCCAUCAACUCCGCCGUCGGCGCCCUCCUCGUCAGCUUCACCGUCUACAUCAUCCCCGCCCUCGCCCACAUGCUCACCUACCGAUCCGCAUCCGCCCGCGCCAACGCGGCGGAGAAGCCGCCCUUCUUCCUGCCGAGCUGGACGGGGAUGUUCGUGCUCAACGCCUUCAUCGUGGUGUGGGUGUUCGUGGUCGGCUUCGGGCUGGGAGGCUGGGCCAGCAUGGUCAACUUCAUCCGCCAGAUCAACACCUUCGGCCUCUUCGCCAAGUGCUACCAGUGCCCCAAGCCCGGCGGCGCCGCCGUCGCCCCGGGCCCCUCGGCGUUGCACCACUAG
rnacentral:rRNA from 1 species